rnacentral:rRNA from 1 species
UACGAAGGGGGCUAGCGUUGCUCGGAAUCACUGGGCGUAAAGCGCACGUAGGCGGACUCUUAAGUCAGGGGUGAAAUCCUGGAGCUCAACUCCAGAACUGCCUUUGAUACUGGGAGCCUUGAGUUCGGGAGAGGUGAGUGGAACUGCGAGUGUAGGGGUGAAAUUCGUAGAUAUUCGCAAGAACACCAGUAGCGAAGGCGGCACUCUGGGCCGGUACUGACACUGAGGAACGAAAGCGUGGGGAGCAAACAGG